rnacentral:rRNA from 1 species
UACGAAGGGGGCUAGCGUUGCUCGGAAUUACUGGGCGUAAAGCGCACGUAGGCGGCUUUCUAAGUCGGGGGUGAAAUCCUGGAGCUCAACUCCAGAACUGCCUUCGAUACUGGAAAGCUCGAGUCCGGGAGAGGUGAGUGGAACUGCGAGUGUAGAGGUGAAAUUCGUAGAUAUUCGCAAGAACACCAGUGGCGAAGGCGGCUCACUGGACCGGAACUGACGCUGAGGCGCGAAAGCGUGGGGAGCAAACAGG